rnacentral:lncRNA from 1 species
UAAUUUAUGUGCCAACAUCUUCACCUAGCCUGUUCUCUGAAGAUUCAGAACAAGGGAGUUCUGCUCGUUCAUUGGAAAACGGGACUCCUAAUUCUACAUUGCCACAAUCUGUAAGUCACUGAGUUAGCUCUUUCGUUUUUAUUUAUUUUUUCGUUUUGAAUGAAAUUCCUGGGGCUUUUUACAUGAUAAAAUUACAAUAUAUUUAAUGUCCAUUGUUCAGGUAUUUAGAUCAUCUGGUGAAGCAUCAAAGGAGAAGUCCUCGGAGGUACCCUUUAUUUCUUUAUCUAACCUUUAUUGUACCUAUGUAUUUGAUAUUGAUCAGUACCCUGAGGUAAAAAGGCUGCAAGUUGCAAGAAUGAGUGAACAACUGGUUAACUGUAUAUUGACAAUGUUGGUAUUAUGCUGUGUACCCCUACUUAGAUCUUACACUAACUGACUGAUUUGUAUAUGGACUGUAGUACUGAUUGUUCAUUGUUUUUGGAGAUAAAAUAAUAGAUAUGGCUUGUCCAGACAUUCAGAAUUGUCCUUGCAUUAAAAUCCUCUGGAAGCAUAUGCUAGCUUGCUGACUGCAAGUAAUUGUGAAUCUUGCUAGCUGGGUAGCAUGCCCUGCCAAUCAUAAAUAUCCGUUCGUGAAACAGAAAAAAAACUUUUGUGCCCCCUUCAGUCAGUACCACCCUUACCUGUUAUUAUGAGGUGAUUGGUGAUAAGACUGAGGAACAGGUUCAUUACUACCAUUAGAACAUAAGAUAUUGGCGGCACCUUCCUGAGCCUUAGUCUUAACUCUUAAGUAAUGUAUAUAUGAUUUGUAUCACUCUUGACUUGGGAAUAUAAAAACAGAUUAGGUUAUUACUACUUCCCAUAAUAUUUGGAAAACAGGAGAAUGCCAAGUAGCAUAUGAUGCAUUUUUAUUUAACUUCCCAACUUUUGGUGCCUCUAGGAUUCCUGAUUUACCGUCAGACGAGAUGGAUUUGUAAUUUAUAUGCCUUACCUAUUCCUGUAAGCUUUCCACUGCUUGGACUGUAUAGGGUGAAUUGUAGCACAUACGGUCAUACGCAAGCAAAAUCAUGUGGUCUUGAUGAAAAUAGGGUGGUACAUGAAAUUGCUAGGGUUAGUUGUGUCAAUUGCAGCGGUGGUGCGUUGCAAUGGCAGUUCCUGCCUGUGCGUGGGAACUGGUCUUGCGUGAUUGUAAUCCAAACAUUGUUUCUUAAUUAAUUAAUACAUACACCAAUUCAAAAAAAAAUCGUGUGGCUUUGAUGGUAUUGGCUACUGUAUGUAUUGACUUUGUAAAAGUUUGCUGACAACAGAUAACCAAAAUGCAUGAUCUCUUACGUAGUUGUCAAUCUAUCUCAAAAUGCUUUUGAAGUUUUAUGUUUUGAUAAAAUGGCUGUGGUUGGUUAUUCCUUCUAGGCAACAUCCAUGAUUUCCAAGCUAACUGAGGAGAAAAUGUCUGCUGUUCAGCAAAACCAGAAGUUGAGACAAGAGCUGGUAAGUGCUUCCACAACUGUGACAGUUCUGAACUAAUGCUGUAUUCUUGGGUAUUAUUCUGGAAUUUGUUUUCCAUCAUUUAUAUGUUUCUUGACCAUUCCAUCUCAAAGGUGACUCAAGGGGUUGUUUACUCAGCUAUUUAUUGAUGUGAGGUUCAACAAAUUAUAGACAUGCUCCCCUCUUUGUACUUUAUGUUUAUCACUACCAUGAAUAGCGGAAAUGUAUGAGAUAAUCUACUGCAUUAGCUUCUUGCUUGCUCGUCCUAACCAAGAAAUCUUUGUUCACACCAUUGGUUUUUCAUACGAGCCAAGUAAAUGCUUAUGUGUUGAGCAUUAUUCAGAUUUAUCAAUUGAUGUAAUGACGAGUGUCAUGCUCAUAAUUACACAUAAGCAUAGAGUUCAGACGGUGUUUGUCGGCAGAAGUUUUUUUUUUCUUCAAAUUUUUUGUUUGUUGGAGAUUGUCACGAGAAGAUGCAGUGAUUGCGAGGUGUGUGUUGUUUAGAGUGAACCUUAUGUUAGUAUGCGUAAUAGAUCAGUUGUUUAUUUCUUAAUGUAAGCUGUCUAAAGUUAACAAUAAUUGACAAUGAGCUUCAAAUUCUGAUGACCUAUCAAUGGACAAUGAAAUUCAAAUUUGCAGUGCAUAGUUUUGGCAGAUGUAAAUAGAGUCUAAAAGUUGUGCUGGGUCUCUGGCAAGUUAAAUAUGCAAAAAGUACCCCCUGCUGAUAUAAUCAGAUUUUCCAUUUGCUGGAUUUUUUUUCAAUACACAUUGUUUGAUCGAUAAAUGUCAAACUUACAUUGUGCAUGAUAAUGCAUAUGCUUUUAGCCUGUGUGCUUAUCAGAAUUUAAUGGAUUCUGCAAAGUUGAACACAGUUUAUCAGGCCAUAUGAUAAAAUCUCUUAAUUUCAGGAUGUCCUACGCAAAGAGAGCAGCAAAAGCAACGGCGGUUUCUCAAUCACCUUCUUGAUUGUGGUGGGUAUUCUGGGCAUCAUCGCUGGUUUCAUCCUCAAGAAGACAUAGGAGAAGAGUAGUCCCCAACAAAGUUACAUUCCCAGGAAAGGAUGGAUACCAACAACAUCCCUUGUGUUUUUACUCCUAAAAGGAGCGCCUGUUCUAUUCUAACUUGUAACGGCUUAGAAGCUUUGGUUUGUGUACAUUACAUGGUGGUUUUCGUGAUUUUAAUCACAUCGAGUAGACUUGUUUUAAUUAUAAUUCUUAACAGCUGCAAGUUAUGUCACGUUCACCAUAACCUUUAAUUCAUUCUGAUCUCACCUUACUUGUGACUUUUGGUGAAUUCAUUGCUGCUU